CACGUAGGCACCAAGCGUUGUCCGGAUUUAUUGGGCGUAAAGAGCUCGUAGGCGGUUCAGUAAGUCAGGUGUGAAAUCUUUGGGCUUAACCCAAAGCGUGCACUUGAUACUGCUGUGACUUGAGUUCGGUAGGGGAGUGGGGAAUUCCUAGUGUAGCGGUGAAAUGCGCAGAUAUUAGGAGGAACACCGGUGGCGAAGGCGGUUCUCUGGGCAUGUCCUGACGUGAGGAGCGAAAGUGUGGGGAGCGAACAGG
rnacentral:rRNA from 1 species